GGGGGCUGCGGGCGUGUUCGCCCUGAACAUUGACGCAAUCGGAACAUGUGCCGUGAACUGACCUCCCCGUGUCUCCGGCUGUAAACAUUCCCCGGUUAUUUUUGGGUGCUCGGCCCAGCUUCUCCCUCGGCUUAUUGGCUGGUGGCUGAGGGAGAUGCCCCUGAAAGGCCGGAGCUGCAGGGUCACCGCCCGCGAUUCGCCUCACCUCCCCGCCAGCCCGCGAUGUUGCUGCGCUUCGGGGUGGUGGUGACACUGGAGGCCCGCCAUGUCCAGCUGUUCGUGUGCGGGUCCAGGCCGGAGCUGGGACACUGGGAUCCGGAGCGGGCGGUGCCGAUGCUGGCUGCGAGCAGCGCCGUGAACGAGCCUUCCUUCUGGGUUGGCGAGGUGCUGCUGCAGGAGCCCAGCACCGAGACAUUCUGGUUCAAGUUUGCCAAGCGGAUCCAUGGCCAGUUCGUCUGGGAAGGAAAUGGGCCGCAUCAUGAUCGGUGCUGUGAAUACGAUGACAGCAACUUAGUGGAUGAUGUUUACUGUCACCCUGUCGGACACUAUAUUGAGGAGAGUGGGUAUACCAAUGAGAUGAAGCAUACCACUGAUUUCUACUUUCACAUCGCUGACCACCAAGCCAUGCACUACUCCAGGAUUCUACCCAGGAUUUGGCUUGGUAGCUGUCCACGACAAAUAGAGCACGUGACCAUCAAACUCAAGCACGAGUUGGGGGUGACUGCAGUAAUGAAUUUUCAAACAGAAUGGGACGUUGUGCAGAACUCGGCUGGAUGUAACCGCAAACCAGAACCAAUGAAACCUGAAUUCAUGAUGGAACUAUACAAAGAUGCUGACAUAGCCUAUGUAUGGAUGCCAACUCCAGAUAUGAGUACAGAAGGCAGGGUGAAGAUGCUCCCUCAGGCAGUUUACUUGCUUCAUGGUUUGCUGGAGAAUGGCCACACUGUGUACGUGCAUUGUAAUGCAGGGGUAGGACGAUCGACUGCCACUGUGUGUGGGUUCCUGAUGUACAUCACUGGAUGGAGUCUAAGGAAAGUUCAGUACUUUGUGACUUCCAAACGACCUGCAGUAUACAUUGAUGAAGAGGCUUUGAUCCGUGCCAAGAAUGAAUUUCACCAAAAAUUUGGACAUAUCCAUUCUUCUGUGUGUCACAACUGUUAAGAGUACAAUUACACCUUGGAAGCACUAUCUUUUGGAGGUUACAAAUUGUGUUUUUGCUUUUAAAUGAGUGGAGCUUUUAUGUUCAUUUGAGGACAGCACAUGAGCAAAUAAUUCUUGGCAAAAAUUCAGAUAACUUUUUGAACAUACACCCUAUCUAGGUUCUGAAACACCUUGGUGCCAUUUUAAGAACAUUUGGCGAUUGCAAGCAGGCUGUGAUUUUUUACCUAGGAUAUUGGAUGGAAACUGCUUGUGGGUAACAAACUACUCGAAGAUGUUUGUUUCGUUACCAACAUAUGUCAAGGUCAACAGGGUACAAGUUAUUCCCCGAAUGAAAUCCUACUUUAAAAAAAAAUCCUAAUGGCUUGUUAUCAAGAAACUGCUUCCCAUUGGAAAAGCAUACAGACUUAACUCAGAGUGGGAGAGCUAAUUCGACCACAGACAUUUAUAGGCUAUGACCAACUGAGAAGACAAAAGAGGGUGCAGAAGCUGGAACCUAGAACAAAAACAGAAUGCUAGAAGAACUCAACAGAUCAAGCAGCAUUUGUGGAAGCAAAAGGUACAAGAAGCUGGUAGCUGACACAUGGAAUUUACAACCCAAUGGUAUGAAUAUUGAAUUUUCCAAUUUCAGGUAACCCACACACCUGGUUUGCUUCUCCUACACACACUCACCUGUCCACAUAGUUUUCUUCUUCCUUUGUUCAUCCCUCCCCCACCUGGAUCCAUCUUCUCUUCACCCCCUCCCCAUCUGGUUCCACCUAUCACCAACUAGCCUCUGUCUUCCCUAUCCAAUGUAUUGUUAAAUACCGGCAAUCUUUCCUGUUCCCUCUCCGUCCUGAUGCAGGAUGUAGACCAGAAACGGCAACUUACACCUUUUGUAUCCACAGAUGCUGCCUGACCCACUGAGUUCUUCCAGUGUUCUGUUUUUGACCAAUUGAGAAAUCAGAAUAUGAUACGAUUAUUUUUUCUUCAGCAACUCUCCUAGUCUCUUGAAUGUGCAAACCCUUUGCUGAUCUAAAGUGGACAUACAACAAGCCAUCCUCCACUAACUUGUCUCAUGACCAUUGACAGGAAAUACCCUCUGAUCAUUGAUUGGCAUAAUAUGGAGUUCUGCUUUCAAACCCUCCUAACGUAACCAUAGCUACUAAUCUAAUUUUCAGAAUUCCUCAAAACAUUUGUAAAAUUCACAAAACCUCAUUGAAUAAAGAGGAAUGAAUUCAGCUCAAUAUCCUAAAUGAAAACAGACAGAAUUAUGGAGUUUAAUCUUCAAAGCAUCGAUAAAAUACAAAAAAAAUCAAUGUAAAGUAAACAGAAUCCACAGGAAAUAACAAAAGACCAUUCAGCCAGAGUUUGCUCCACCAUCCAAAUGGAUCAUGGUUAGGCAAUAUAUGUACUCCAUUCAGCCACCUUGCCUCCCAUAUCUUAAACAUCAAUCUCAAAUCUAUAAGUCUGAUUGCAACCAAGUAUAACUUGCUCCUUUGAUCUAGUUAAGUAGUUGGAAGAUGGAGUUCUACUAUAGGAAUACUCAAGAAGCACCAACUCUUGUUAAUUCUAUGCUGCAAAACCACCAAAAUUUUGAAUAAAAAUUCAGGUGUUCAACUUCCAGUACAGAUUAUUUUCCAUGUCUUUUCUGUAUAUUAUUUACACAAGUUCCCAUGGUUGCACCAUUUUGUUUCACUAUGACAGUUUAUGGAUAGUCUCUACAUUACAAUUUUCAAUCCUAAUGCAGAUUAUUUUAAUCCCAAAAGAGGAACAAGGUAUUUUAGACCAUUGAAUAUGUCCUACCAUUCAAUAAGAUUGUGGGCAAUUUAAAUCCAAAUAACUACUUUCCUGCAUCUCUUAUUAAUGGUGGUUAACAAAAUUUAUCAAUUUAAAUAUUAAAAUUAAUUUGCUGAGCAUCAAUUACCAUUUGUAGAACUAUUCCAAAUUUAUACAACCUUCAUCAUAUAGAAGUGUUCCUUCACUUCAGUCUUGAAAGGCCUGACUAAUUUUUUUUGGACCAUGUCUUCUAAACCCAGUUACUCAACCAGGAAUAGUUAUUCUCUAUCCACCCAAUCAGUUUCCCUUCAUAUCUUGAAAACUAAUCAAAUUGCACACACCCCACUCCCAAGUCUUGUACAUUCCAGUAAAUAUAGUCUUAUUUUGUGAAUCUUACUUUGUAAUUUAUAUCGUGUGGCCAGGUAUCAUUUCUGUAAAUGGGGAUGCAGAGAUCUGUACGUGCAAGUGCACGAUUCACA